rnacentral:rRNA from 1 species
AGUGAACGCUGGCGGUAGGCCUAACACAUGCAAGUCGAACGGCAGCACAGUAAGAGCUUGCUCUUACGGGUGGCGAGUGGCGGACGGGUGAGGAAUACAUCGGAAUCUACUUUUUCGUGGGGGAUAACGUAGGGAAACUUACGCUAAUACCGCAUACGACCUACGGGUGAAAGCAGGGGAUCUUCGGACCUUGCGCGAUUGAAUGAGCCGAUGUCGGAUUAGCUAGUUGGCGGGGUAAAGGCCCACCAAGGCGACGAUCCGUAGCUGGUCUGAGAGGAUGAUCAGACACACUGGAACUGAGACACGGUCCAGACUCCUACGGGAGGCAGCAGUGGGGAAUAUUGGACAAUGGGCGAAAGCCUGAUCCAGCAAUACCGCGUGGGUGAAGAAGGCCUUCGGGUGGUAAAGCCCUUUUGUUGGGAAAGAAAAGCAGCAGGUUAAUACCCCGCUGUUCUGACGGUACCCAAAGAAUAAGCACCGGCUAACUUCGUG